rnacentral:rRNA from 1 species
AUUGAACGCUGGCGGCAUGCCUUACACAUGCAAGUCGAACGGCAGCACGGGAGCUUGCUCCUGGUGGCGAGUGGCGAACGGGUGAGUAAUGCAUCGGAACGUGCCCUGAAGUGGGGGAUAACGUAGCGAAAGUUACGCUAAUACCGCAUAUUCUGUGAGCAGGAAAGCAGGGGAUCUUCGGACCUUGCGCUUUUUGGAGCGGCCGAUGUCGGAUUAGCUAGUUGGUGGGGUAAAGGCCCACCAAGGCGACGAUCCGUAGCGGGUCUGAGAGGAUGAUCCGCCACACUGGAACUGAGACACGGUCCAGACUCCUACGGGAGGCAGCAGUGGGGAAUUUUGGACAAUGGGCGCAAGCCCUGACUCCGACGCCAUCGCCGCGUGAGU